CGUUACAACAGAAGGCCGAUGGCCGUGCUGGGCCCUCUGACGAAAGAAGAAGAUUCGUUGAAGAAGAAAUAUGCACUUCUACGACAGAAAAAAGCAGAGCUCCAGAAGGAAUCCAAAGCUUCUGUGCCGGCGAAAGUCGCGAAACCCGCUUUGAAACGACCUCUUCCUCAUCGUCCAGCUGAAGCGAAAGAGACAGCAAGGAAAGUGCUGGCAACCGAGAAGCAGCAAUCAACACAACAAUCUGGUGUCAAAGCAUCAGGAUUUAAACGAUCCAAAAAUCUUGAGAAGCGUCUCAAGGAGCAACAACAGCAACCUCAAUAUCAACCUUGGACCAGUCUGAGCACUUCUUUGGAGAAGAAGUCGACUUUAUCAAGUGAUGAGCAAAAGCAGGCGGCUACGAGGUACAAAGAUCUGUAUGACAACUUUGUGCCUGCUGCCAGUCGAGGAUCAAGUUCGUCUGGUCGUAGUCAAACACAGUGUGGACAGAGGGGAAAUACAAUAUAUAUUCAGUGUCGAAAUCCAGAUCAAGGUCUAGAUGAAGAAAGCCUCAAACAAGCAUUUAGUGAUUAUGGUAAAGUAGUCGAGAUAGUUGCCGAACCGAGUAAAGGAUAUGCAUUCAUUACAUAUAACAGCAUUGAGUCGGCAGAGAAUGCGAUUAGAAAGAUGAACAGUGAGUUUGUAGGAAGGACUCGUAUUCGUGUGUCAUUUGCUAGGAAGCAGCCUUCUCUAACUGAUGCACCAGAAGAAACGAGUACUGAAUCUGCAUGGCACAUGGUAGGAUCGUCUCUUCCAAAGUUGCAACAGCAGAGUCCUGCCAAGGUGGUACGAAAGCAGGUCGUGUAUGAUGACGACUUUUUUAUGACUGGAAACGAUAGUACAGACUGAUUUUCUGAUGCUGUUUGAUGAUGAGUCAAUGACACACGUGAAAACUAUUACUAUACCAUCAAAACAUUAGCAAUGCAACAUUGGUGUGAAUGUGAUUCUAGAAGUGGCAUGUUACCUCUCUCUCUUGACAUACUCGACUGU